CUAAGACAUCACGUUUCUGCCCGGCUCCUUAAGAAUAAUCUCAUUCUUUCAGUUCUGGUAUAUUAAUUUAUUAGGACUUGGGCUGUCUGGUGGUGAGAUGGUUGACUGGUGAACUUCUAAUAACAGACAUGAGCAAGUACUCAGGACAGUUAGGUAAUGCAAUUAAGGCUGCAGCAUCUCAAAGCAUGACCGGCGGAGAGUAAACAGCCUCAUUUAUCAUCCGCGUUCAACUGCUGACCUGGCUUAAGUACAUUAAGUGGACACUCAAAGUCAACUUUUUGAAAAGCCGAGAACAAGAACUAUAAAAAUAAAUGAACUGGUUUUAAAGAGCUGGUGCAUUUAAAGCAUGUGUAUGCUAAUAUAGUUAGUGUUCUUGAUGUUAACAGGUCUUUAAAGUCUUUUUUUUUAAAACCCGUUUACGCCAAUAAUGAUAAAUGUAAAGUUUAUAUAUUCAUUGUAAUUCUAUGAGAACAGUUACGUCCAGAAACAAGUGAUAGACACAGGUUGCCAGAUUGAAGACACACAAAAGGAAUGAACGGAACUGACAAGGGAAGGCGAUGAGCCAUACACUAGCUCACCUGACUUAACAGCUUUUUGGGUGCAAAGGUUACCUCAGACCUUUCAUUUGAAAAUAAUGUUCCUGGCAAUACAAAGACCAAGGUUGAUCACUGCCGCAGUGCCCUCCAAUUGUAUGAACACACAUCUAGUGCCCUGCUGACACUCCAGGAGAAAAAGGACUGAUAAGAGUGAAGAGAUAAAGAAGAAUGGCAGCUAGGAGGAUCCUCUGGGCAGGCAACCAAUUACAGAUGACAGCAUCAGAUUGUGUGUGGUCUCUUUCACCAUCAAAAGACAAAACUCCCUUGACGACUGGCCACAAAAGGACCAAGGACACCCCACUCAAGACACGCUGGAAGGAAGAAGAAGAAGAGACAUUUUGGAGUCUGAAAAGUUCUUCAAGUCAUUUGACCGUUGCAGAGAAGGUCUCGUCAGGCUUUCUGUCCCCAUCUCACUUCAUAAACAACAAGAGAGUCUCUCCAUAACAUCUAAGAGCAGAAAACAGAAAGACAGAUACCAAAAUAAUGAUGUACAGCUGUUUAAUGAAAUGUGUCUUAUUCCAGUUAAUCUUUUGCCUUUGGCUACUGGUCUUGAUUCUUGAAUAUUGAUAUCUCGAAUAUACUUCUUUUUAUAACAAGAUUCAGUUUUUGAAAUAACUUUCACCAAGACUAGAUUA